rnacentral:lncRNA from 1 species
GAAAGCUUCCUCACCCUAAAGAAGAUAGAUGGAAGGGCAGCAGUCUACCAGUGUAGCUCUGAUUCUCUUUGCUACCCAAGACAAAACUUCAAGGUAAGCACAUUGUCUCCAUGUAUGCAGAAGCACCUGGCUUCCCUUGAUGUUGGACGUGGUAAGGAAAUUGACAUAGCAUACA